rnacentral:rRNA from 1 species
GACAGAGGGUGCAAACGUUGUUCGGAAUUACUGGGCGUAAAGCGCGUGUAGGCGGCCAUCUAAGUCGGGCGUGAAAUCCCACGGCUCAACCGUGGAAGUGCACUCGAAACUGGAUGGCUAGAGUCCUGGAGAGGAAGGUGGAAUGCUUGGUGUAGAGGUGAAAUUCGUAGAUAUCAAGCGGAACAUCGGUGGCGAAGGCGGCCUCUGGACAGUGACUGACGCUGAGACGCGAAAGCGUGGGGAGCAACAGG